rnacentral:rRNA from 1 species
CACAAGGGAGACUAGUGUUAUUCAUCUUUAUUAGGUUUAAAGGGUACCUAGACGGUAUAUCAAGCCCCAAAAGGGAACGGAUAUACUAGAGUUUUAUGUGAGAGGCAAAUAUAGUACUAUUGGUGUAGAGAUAAAAUUCAUUGAUACCUCUAGGCACGGGUAACGGCGAAGGCGAUCCUCUAUGUAAAAACUGACGUUGAGGGACGAGGCUUGGGGAGCGAAUAG